CAAAUACUAGGCUAGAUUGAAUCACUCUGCAAAUACACAUCGACUGUGGUUGGUAAUAUUUGGAGUAAAAUGGUGAAAUAUAAAAAGUGGAAAUGAGAGUAAAUAAAAAGUGGGAAAGAGAAAAAAAAAUAUAAGAAACAAAGUUACUCUGGCAUCUUCAACCCAACUGCAAAACACUAUUUUAGUGUGAAUUUUACACCAAAAUUUUCUCCAACCCAACACUAAAAAUCACACAAUUUUAGUGCAACACUAUAAUUUC
rnacentral:lncRNA from 1 species